AGGAGCCUUCAUAGAGAAAUGAAGACCCGAAGAAACAGGCCUGAGGAUUUCGAUGCUGGGUUUGCCGUGUGGGAACACCAGAGGGCAGGAAGACGAGGAACUGGAACCCGAAGGCUUGGCCGGGGUCCUUGGCAGCUGGCUCAGGGCUCCCCACGAGCGGGGAUGAGGGGAGAAAAUGCAAGUCAGGACCCAGGAAAUCACCAGCAGAAGAGCUUGGACCAAAGAUCUCUGAUGGGGAAGCACAGGCCGCUUCGCAGCCUGGUUCCAGACUUGCCAGCAGCAUCAUCACUUGUUCACAGGCGCCGGCCUCCAGCCAUCCAAGGUCACCAUUCAGACCACCAUCUGUUCCCCAACUUCUGCCCUGCAGGAUCCUGGGCAGCCAGGCCAGUGCUGAGUGGGCUCUUUCGGUUUGGAAUUGAUAGUUUUACUGCCAGUGCCACUGUCUGGACCAAGAAAAGAAUUCAUGUGUGCGUGUGUGUGCGUACAUAUGCAUACUGUACACACAGGUCCGUACUCUGUGCAUAGAGUGUCAAUUCAUUCCAGAUUUACUGGAACAGCCUCAAUUUCACAUAUUUGGACACCACAAACCAUUGAAAUAUCCUGAAAAUUCCAAUAUGAUUAUUUAUGCAGUACUCCUUCAGUCUUGUUCCAAAAAAAGGAUUUGAGAACCCGCUUGUAGAGUUGUAUAUACUUCAGCAGGAUUUAAAAAUAACAGACAAGGUAACUGGGGAGAAGGGAGCGUAAGACGACAGAAAUGCAUAACUCACGUCCUGUGCGCGGGCUGGAG
rnacentral:lncRNA from 1 species